UAUCCUACGGGGCGCAGCAGUGGGGGAUAUUGCACAAUGGGGGGAACCCUGAUGCAGCGACGCCGCGUGGGUGAAGGAGUGCUUCGGCAUGUAAAGCCCUAUCGGCAGGGAAGAAGCAAGACGGUACCUGACUAAGAAGCCCCGGCUAACUACGUGCCAGCAGCCGCGGUAAUACGCAGGUGGCAAGCGUUAUCCGGAUUUAUUGGGUGUAAAGGGCGUGUAGGCGGGAAAGCAAGUCAGAUGUGAAAACUCAGGGCUCAACCCUGAGCCUGCAUUUGAAACUGGUUUUCUUGAGUGCUGG
rnacentral:rRNA from 1 species